rnacentral:rRNA from 1 species
CUGGCGGCGUGCCUAAUACAUGCAAGUCGAGCGAAUGAUGAGGAGCUUGCUCCUCUGAUUUAGCGGCGGACGGGUGAGUAACACGUGGGUAAUCUGCCUGUAAGACGGGGAUAACUCCGGGAAACCGGGGCUAAUACCGGAUAAUAAGAGAAGAAGCAUUUCUUCUUUUUGAAAGUCGGUUUCGGCUGACACUUACAGAUGAGCCCGCGGCGCAUUAGCUAGUUGGUGAGGUAACGGCUCACCAAGGCGACGAUGCGUAGCCGACCUGAGAGGGUGAUCGGCCACACUGGGACUGAGACACGGCCCAGACUCCUACGGGAGGCAGCAGUAGGGAAUCUUCGGCAAUGGGCGAAAGCCUGACCGAGCAACGCCGCGUGAGCGAUGAAGGCCUUCGGGUCGUAAAGCUCUGUUGUUAGAGAAGAACAAGUACGAGAGUAACUGCUCGUACCUUGACGGUACCUAACCAGAAAGCCACGGCUAACUACGUGCCAGCAGCCGCGGUAAUACGUAGGUGGCAAGCGUUAUCCGGAAUUAUUGGGCGUAAAGCGCGCGCAGGCGGUCUCUUAAGUCUGAUGUGAAAGCCCACGGCUCAACCGUGGAGGGUCAUUGGAAACUGGGAGACUUGAGUGCAGGAGAGAAAAGUGGAAUUCCACGUGUAGCGGUGAAAUGCGUAGAGAUGUGGAGGAACACCAGUGGCGAAGGCGGCUUUUUGGCCUGUAACUGACGCUGAGGCGCGAAAGCGUGGGGAGCAAACAGGAUUAGAUACCCUGGUAGUCCACGCCGUAAACGAUGAGUGCUAGGUGUUGGGGGGUUCCACCCUCAGUGCUGAAGUUAACACAUUAAGCACUCCGCCUGGGGAGUACGACCGCAAGGUUGAAACUCAAAGGAAUUGACGGGGGCCCGCACAAGCAGUGGAGCAUGUGGUUUAAUUCGAAGCAACGCGA